rnacentral:rRNA from 1 species
AUUGAACGCUGGCGGCAUGCCUUACACAUGCAAGUCGAACGGCAGCACGGGGCAACCUGGUGGCGAGUGGCGAACGGGUGAGUAAUGCAUCGGAACGUGCCAUUGAGUGGGGGAUAACGUAGCGAAAGUUGCGCUAAUACCGCAUAUUCUGUGAGCAGGAAAGCAGGGGACCGCAAGGCCUUGCGCUCUUUGAGCGGCCGAUGUCAGAUUAGCUAGUUGGUGAGGUAACGGCUUACCAAGGCGACGAUCUGUAGCGGGUCUGAGAGGAUGAUCCGCCACACUGGAACUGAGACACGGUCCAGACUCCUACGGGAGGCAGCAGUGGGGAAUUUUGGACAAUGGGCGCAAGCCUGAUCCAGCCAUGCCGCGUGAGUGAAGAAGGCCUCGGUUGUAAGUACGU